rnacentral:tRNA from 1 species
AUGUAGCUCAGAGGUGAGCACUUGCCUAGCAUGGAUGAGGCCCUGGGUUCAAUCCCCAGCAU